AUUGAACGCUUGCGGCAGGCCUAACACAUGCAAGUCGAGCGGAUGAAGGGAGCUUGCUCCUGGAUUCAGCGGCGGACGGGCGAGUAAUGCCUAGGAAUCUGCCUGGUAGUGGGGGAUAACGUCCGGAAACGGGCGCUAAUACCGCAUACGUCCUGAGGGAGAAAGUGGGGGAUCUUCGGACCUCACGCUAUCAGAUGAGCCUAGGUCGGAUUAGCUAGUUGGUGGGGUAAAGGCCUACCAAGGCGACGAUCCGUAACUGGUCUGAGAGGAUGAUCAGUCACACUGGAACUGAGACACGGUCCAGACUCCUACGGGAGGCAGCAGUGGGGAAUAUUGGACAAUGGGCGAAAGCCUGAUCCAGCCAUGCCGCGUGUGUGAAGAAGGUCUUCGGAUUGUAAAGCACUUUAAGUUGGGAGGAAGGGCAGUAAGUUAAUACCUUGCUGUUUUGACGUUACCAACAGAAUAAGCACCGGCUAACUUCGUG
rnacentral:rRNA from 1 species